rnacentral:rRNA from 1 species
GACGAACGCUGGCGGCGUGCUUAACACAUGCAAGUCGAACGGAAAGGCCCUGCUUUUGUGGGGUGCUCGAGUGGCGAACGGGUGAGUAACACGUGAGUAACCUGCCCUUGACUUUGGGAUAACUUCAGGAAACUGGGGCUAAUACCGGAUAGGAGCUCCUGCUGCAUGGUGGGGGUUGGAAAGUUUCGGCGGUUGGGGAUGGACUCGCGGCUUAUCAGCUUGUUGGUGGGGUAGUGGCUUACCAAGGCUUUGACGGGUAGCCGGCCUGAGAGGGUGACCGGCCACAUUGGGACUGAGAUCCGGCCCAGACUCCUACGCGCGGCAGCAGUCGAGAAUAUUGCCCAAUGGGCGGAAGCAUGAUGAAGAAAAGUCGCGGGCGGUAUGACGGCCACCGGGUUGUACACCGCUUUCGACUGAGACGUAGCGAGAGUGACGGUAAUGGGUAAAGAAGCCCCGGCUAACUACGUG